CUCGAUUCCCAUUUAGCGCUUAUAACGCCCCUGGCAAUCGGUACACGGCGCACACCUCUUGUACGUAAUGGGUUGGGCUCUCCUGCUGGGUUCCCAGCACGCUGUAUUGUGCAGGGCCAACGAGCGGUCAACACGUGUCCUGACGGACCCCACCACAAAGCAACCACAAUUCCUUUUUUUAAUUUAUACAGAAAAUGUUUUUUCCUUGCCUUAUCCCAGCGGUCUGCUGCUAUUCCACAGCCCAUAGCCACUCGUUCUACAGCUCCAUGAAAGAGGAUUCCAGCAAGGUGAGGUCCGCCGCUCGGCGCCGUGGCCGGCGGCCAGACGGGAGCUGUCGCGGCUAGCGCUGCACGUGUCCGGUGUGCUGCAACGCCCUGGCCGUGACCUUGGAAAGCGGCAAAGACGGCCUGUCGCGGCUAGUGCCGCCCGGCUCCGGCGUGCUGCGCCGCGUGAGGGCAGUGGCCUUGACCCCUUGACUGGAGGCAAGAUGGGGUCCAUGGAAGCUAGCUCCACUUGCUUCAGUCGCGCUGCGCCGUGCGGGCCGUUGCCUUGGCUGAUGCGAUGACGGGACCGUCGCGGCUAGCUCCGCCCGCCUCUGGCACGCCCAAGGCUGUGCCCGACCUGCUCCCUAGUAGAAGGUGGAACCACAACGCAUGCACCCAGUCGGCGGGUGCGGCCGUGGCCGGUGGAGAUGCCGCCGGAGGUCGCUGGGUCACACUUGAAGAAGGCGUGAGCUCAAUGCAACUCAACAGGCAAAGAUUCCAGGCGCAAUAAUGGACCUAUGGGCGAUGAAGUGCCAGGAGCUCCUUCUAUGCUGAAGAACACCAUAGAGGUUGAUCCAUGGAGAGGGCAAUUUUCUAGCAAUCCUGAUCUAUUCUCUUGUAUCCAGGGUGCAACAAUCAACAAUGGAGUACUCCUAGAUGGGUAGGACACAGGAUGUAUAGCCAUGAAGAAACUUUGGCGGCAAAAUCUGUUGUUAUGCGGUAGAAAAAAAAGGUUGUUUGCUGAUUUUCUGGAACGUAACAGCAACUAGAGAGAUGUGCUGUGUUUAUUGAGUGGUGGGUCCACCAGGACAUGUGUUGGCCGGUGGUUGGGCCUGCACAAUACUGCGUGCUGGGAACCCAGCAGGAGAGCCCGACCCGUACGUAAUGGGAUGGCCCAUGUAGCUGGUUCCUUUUUUUCUUCGCGAAUGUUCCCGACCGGUUUUAUGAAGCUUCUGACCGGUUUUGCAAAGGUUUAAGAAGCUCCCGGCCAUUUUUUUCCCUGGUUUUCUAUUCACUUUUCCCUUUUCGUUUUUGUUUUAUUUUAUUUUGCUUUUUCCGUUCUCGUGAGCCUCUUAGAUACGCGAAUUUUUUUCAAACCCAUAAUUUUUUUUUCAUAUGAAGCAAAGUGAAGCAUCUUGUCUAGUCUACCAGUUGGGCUCAGGCCGCCCACGUUUCCCCUCCCCUCUCUUGUGCAUCCACGUCUAACAACGAUGUAUGCUACUACUACAAAAUAAU
rnacentral:rRNA from 1 species